UCGGGAAUUUUGCCCAAUGGACGAAAGUCUGAGGCAGCAACUCCGCGUGAGGGACGAAGGCUCUAGGGUCGUAAACCUCUUUUCUCAGGGAAGAUCCAAGACGGUACCUGAGGAAUAAGCGACGGCUAACUACGUGCCAGCAGCCGCGGUAAUACGUAGGUCGCAAGCGCUGUCCGGAUUUACUGGGCGUAAAGAGCGCGCAGGCGGCUGGUCAAGUCCGAUGUGAAAUCUCCCGGCUCAACUGGGAAACUGCAUCGGAAACUGAUCGGCUUGAAGGUAGGAGAGGGUAGUGGAAUUCCCGGUGUAGUGGUGAAAUGCGUAGAUAUCGGGAGGAACACCAGUGGCGAAGGCGACUACCUGGCCCGUACUUGACGCUGAGGCGCGAAAGCUAGGGGAGCGAACAGG
rnacentral:rRNA from 1 species